rnacentral:lncRNA from 10 species
CUGCCUUAGAAAUGGAGUUGGUAUUGGUGAAUUCAACAAGAGGACCAGAAGGAGGAGGAAGAGGGAAGAUUUUAAUGCUGUGCAGUGGUGCUCAGGUCUAGGUCAAGAACAAUGAGUCUCAUAUGAUUGUCUCUUGACUUUGACUAUCACGGUAGGACUUUACUGACAAGCCGGGCCCCAGGUACUGAAGAUAAGAAUAUAGAGAAGUUUUUCUUCUGACAGACUUGCUGGAAGCCAGGUGGCUAUCGCUGGUAACAAUCCAGGAAGCUAACGGAUAACUUCUGUAACAACUGGACCCACACGGCCAGGACUUGAUUAAUGACUGACAUCUACCCUAAUUUUUGUGCCUACAUCCAAUUUAAGACCAAACAGAGAAAACGAAACACGCACCCCUAACCGAUCAUGCAGAAUGCCCCUACUUCUGUUUAGCCCGCCUACAGCUUCCCCAUGGCAAUAGCCUCCAAUCAGGAUACACCUGAACCCUUCCCUCCCCACCCACUGCCCUGCUAUAAAGCUUUCUCAUUUCUCUGCCUUUGAAUCACUGCCAAAACACAGCGACAGUAGCUAACUCCCUUGUUGUAUAGCAGGCUGUGAAAAAAUAGCACUUGCAUUUCUCAUUUGAUUGGUCGUCAUUUAUUUCUAUAACCAUGUGUUUCAUUCAUGCAAUUCAGAAGUUUCUUUGGAAUAACUUGCAGAGUAAACUAAAAAAUAUUUAUUUGCUAUGAUACUUUAUAUAUAUUUUCUGCUUAUUUAAGUUCCCUACUGAGGUUUUGAAAUUCUCCCUGAUGCUGGUAGUAUAAAAAUCUUAUUUGAAGCAAAUCAAUUAAUCCUGAAGAUGACUGAAAGAUCAAUAUGAGAUAGCUGCAGAUAAACCAACUAUUCUCUAAGCUCUAGGACACCUUCAAACAGCACAUUCUGCCUUUUAAUACAAGUAUUUACACACUGAUUUCAGUUGUAAAGAAAUGAGAAACUUCAAGUAUAAAAAGCUUGGGACUAUGAAAACCAAGCGUUUUGUCUAAACAUCUUUUGUUGUUGUUCUUGGUAAAAAAGAAGGCUUCGGGGCUGGUGGCACGCGCCUGUAGUCCCAGCUACUGGGGAGGCUGAGGCAAGAGAAUCGCUUGAAUCCAGG